rnacentral:tRNA from 1 species
GGAGCCAUAGUAUAGCCUGGAUAGAAUACGAGCUUGCGGAGCUUGGGACCGGGGUUCGAAUCCCCGUGGCUCCG